rnacentral:tRNA from 1 species
GGCAGUGUAGCAUAAUGGGCAUGGAGCUGGCCUUGAAACCCAAAGGUCCCAGGUUCAAUCCCUGGGUAGGACA